UGUGACGCUUCCUACCAUCGAACGACGUCACGCACAAUGUUUUUCGCCCCAAGGAAAGGAAAAAUUGGGAAAAAGCCUCCUAUGACAGACAUUUAUACCCUUCUGGGAGGAGCCAUAGAAAUCUUCCAUCCUCCUUAUUUUAAAAAAAUAAAAAUAAAGUGAGUAAUAUUAUUUUUGCUUUCAGAGAAGUCUCCUGGGGAUGUGGUUUUUGGCCAAGGGGUUGCGUCCAAGCCUCUGGCUGGCGAUGUUACAGCCUCGCGUUUCAUCCCUCGUUCCCCCCGGGAUGUACUACGAUCGCAUAAAUUGAAGGUUCGCAGCCCAAAUCUGCCAGCUUUCUCAGAGAAAAGGCUGCGGGCGUUUCUCACUGUUGACCUUACGCUCUCAGGGCCGAAAUUCCCCAAAGCCACUGAUCCCAGAGGACAAGACCCAGAGCAACCCUGAGGCAGAAACCCCCCUCUCUGUGGUUUCGUCGCUGCCUUCCCCCACCCCAUCGCCCUACGUGGGAACGGAGCUGAAUUUCCAAAAAAAACCCGCUGGAGAUCCCCGCUGAGCCAAGCAGCCCCUCCACCUCUCGCUCGUCUCCCCUGGGACUUCUUGGUGGUAAAGUCCUGCCUGGUGAAACACCGGCACGGAGCAAAUCCUCUUGUCGAGCCCAGGAGCAGCCUUUGGAAGUGCGGGAGCCCCUCCAGCCAGGUGCCUCUUCUAGGCACAAAACUCGAGCAGGGAUGCUAACCUGACGGGAAAUCACUCCACCUCGCAAAUCUGAUCUUUAAAAAUAGCUCCUAGCAACCUUUGGUACUCACCAUAUGCAAACAGAACAGACGAACCAAACCCCAACACAUUCCUGGGAGAUAAGAGCAUUUUAUAAUAAUCUCACAUCCCCAGGGCUUAUACGUGCUCGGCGCAGGUUACGCUGGAAUUGAUAAGAAAUGAAUAAUUCCUGGCUGAAUCCCCAAAAGCAAAAGCAGAUUUAUUGUUGGGCACUGCACUGUUUAAGUAACCGUUUCCGUUGCUUUUCGCUGGAAAGUGAACACAAAGGAACAUUUUAACCCUGGCAGGAGAGGGGUCGUCGCUGCCGGUGCCGCCUCUUGGAACAAGCAAGUUUUCUCUCUGCGAAGACACGGGACUGGUCUCCACUCCUGGUCGGAAUCCGGCUUUUCUUACCCCAAAAUCUUCAGUAAGAUAGUCAGUAAGACAAUCCUUACGUAGCCAAGGA